AUGCUCGUGAGUCGUGAUUAUUCCUGCACAUGGUAACAAGUUGUGCCUGGGAAGGGACCUGUAGCCCUUUGUAAUAAAAAUGGAUGUAUCAUUGAUAAAGCAAAUUCCGUCAAGUAACUUGACGAGCACUUCCCGUAUUUGCAACCCGUCAUUUGGACAAGCGCGAUAUUAAAAAAGGGGAAUAAACAUUGAAAGACUUUUAUCCUUUUAAACAGUGGAUUCUAAAGUUUGGAUCUAUUUCAAAACAUUUUCUGUAACCUGGUAUGUGUAUAUUUCCGUUAUCUUCUAAAUUACAAAGUAAUCAUUAAGUGUUACAAAGUAAGUGAAAAGAUGAACCUAAUAAAGCAAACUCUCGAGAAGGAUACGAGAAAAACAUACCGAUACCAAUGUACCGGACAUGAAUAUCGUGUCGCCAUUAACUCUUUUAAAACGGAUGACAAGAAAUCAUACUUUAUGUGGAAAUUUGUGUUAUUUCAAUCACUGGUAUCACACAAACUAAACUACCGUACCAGACAACCAGAGAAUUGGACUUGAUCGUUUUAUUAAUCAGAGAAAGCAACAUUUUGCAUUUCCGCCAAACUAAUGCCUAACGGAAUAUGUACAAUAAAAACCACAAUUCUUAAGAA